UAUAACAUGUAAUGAUGAUUUUGCAUUAAUUAUGACAAGAGUCACGUCUAAACUUUUUGGGCCAUUAAAUGUUGAUGUCAUUUCGUUUUUAAUGGAAAAAAUCUCUCUUCUUACUGUACAGCCGCACUCCUCAACGUGAAACAAAAAUAAUUCCAACUAAACCGGAACAGUGUACCUAACUAAACCUGACUAACUAAACUGUACAUUCAACAGUUUCUCAGCUGUAGCAGCAAGGAAAAAAUGGUCAAAUUUCAGCUGAAAAGACAAAACGUGAAAACUACCUUUCACUUUGCCAAUCCUUGAAAAUAAAAUAUGGUCAAAAGGUGUGGCCCGCAAAUUACCCUAUUUUAAAUUUGAUUGGGUGCAACUUUGAGCUGUAGUAAGUAAAA
rnacentral:sRNA from 1 species